rnacentral:rRNA from 1 species
UACGGAGGGGGCUAGCGUUGUUCGGAAUUACUGGGCGUAAAGCGCACGUAGGCGGCUUUGUAAGUUAGAGGUGAAAGCCCGGGGCUCAACUCCGGAAUUGCCUUUAAGACUGCAUCGCUAGAAUUGUGGAGAGGUAAGUGGAAUUCCGAGUGUAGAGGUGAAAUUCGUAGAUAUUCGGAAGAACACCAGUGGCGAAGGCGACUACUGGACACAUAUUGACGCUGAGGUGCGAAAGCGUGGGGAGCAAACAGG